ACUCUUUGGGAUAAAAUAAUGGAAUAUGUCCUAAAUAUCUGCAUAGGUUGACGAAUCUAUGUACAAUAGUUUAAGAGGAGUGGUGCUGACAAACUGUUCAUCUCUAUAUUCAAAAUAUGGCCAAAAAGUCUAAGUUUGAAAUCCCGGAAAAAAUAAAGGAAUCGGAAUUUCCUGGUAAUAUGCACAUCUACAUAUUGUGUCCUAAAUAUCUGCUAAGUUUUACAAAAUUCUGUGCAGCGGUUUAUGCGGAGUUGCGCUGACAAACUGUUCAUCUCUAUGUAAAAGGUAUGGCCAAAAACCUAGGUUUUUAGUGCGAAAAGUCCCGGCAAAAAUAAAGGAAUCGGAAUUUCCUGGUAAUAUGCACAUCUACAUAUUGUGUCCUAAAUAUCUGCAAAGUUUGACGAAAUUCUGUGCAGCGGUUUAUGAAGAGUUGUGCUGACAAA